rnacentral:lncRNA from 1 species
GUUUAAGCUCCCAGAACAAAAAAACUAAACAGACCAUACAAGACAAACUACACUCUGCAGGCUCCAAGACACUCAAAAUGUUUCUAAGAAAGAGCAUAGUUACAGGCAGGGGAUAGGUGAGAAGGACUGGGAAGUUCACUACUCCUGAGGAAAGCUAGAGGAAGAAGAACCUUAGAGACGUCAGAAGCUGUGAAGGGCACCUCUAACACAACCUUAGACCCUCUCUAGCACUGGCAAAGUCACACCAUGUGAGACAGUGGCCCCAGUAGACUAGUACAAAGGCCAUUCAUUCCACAAGGUAAGGACCAGCAUCUCCACUGGAGAUGAGGUGAAAGACCACAAGUUCAAGACAAUGAGAUGACCAUGCACAAGUGAGCAGCUCUGAGACUCCAUGACGCUCAGUUCUCCUUGACAAAUUCUACUCUACUAAAAUAUAAACUCUAAACUGGGUGGGAUUAAAGUGCCGCCUUUAAUCCUGGCACUUGGGAGCACACAGGCAGACAGAUUUAUGGGUUCAAGGCCAGUCUGGUCUACAGAGUGAGUUCAAGAAUAGCCAGGGUGACACAGAGCAACCCUAUCUCCCCUCCUUCCCCUCACCAAAAAAAAAAAAAAAAAAAAAAAAAAAACUUAACUCUAGGAGACUAGACAGUUAACAGCUCAGCAGUUAGGAGUGCUUGCUGCUUUCGCACAGGAUCCAUGUUCAAUGCCCAGCAUCCACGUGGAGCCUCACAGCCAUCUGUAACUUCAGUUUCAGGGGAAUCUGGUGCCUUCUUCAAGGACACCGUAAGGUAUGUGGUAAACAGACAUAAAUUCGAACAAAAUACUCACACACAUAGAAUAAAAAAAUAUUCUCUUAAUUUUUUCGAAGAAAUUAACCUACUAUAGCUAGAGAGUUGGCCUUUGGAGGGGGGGGGGAUCAAUUCUUAGCAGCCACGCAGGCUGCUCACAACCUGUAACUCCAGCUCCAAGGACUCUGAGACCCUUUUCUGGCCUCUGCAUGGCAGACACAAUGGACACGCAUGUGCGCACACACACUUUAAAAAUAAUGGUGU